rnacentral:lncRNA from 1 species
CUGCACUCCUGGAAUUUUCCACUAGGUAGUAUGUAUUCAGGUCACAUACACAGUGAGAUUUCCUGCAGCGCUGGUACAGAUAAAAAGGCUGUGUGGCUUGGAGUGGCUCUUUCAGAGCCUCAUGACAUACAUUAAAUAUCCAUCACUUUAUCACUGACUGUUGGGCUCAUGCAGCCCUUCCUACCAUAGAAGGAAGAGCCAACAUGUGGCCUUGAACCCAGAUGACUAUGUACUGUCCAUGGAAUAUCUGCAGUUCUUAGGCUCCUGAGCAUUCAUGCUUUCUGGCCAUUUGUAGUUUAUCUGUUGGACUUCUAAGCCUUUUAGGAGAUAAUCUCCUUGCUGUGGAAUGCUGGGUUUGUGGAAGCAUUGCAUUUUGCGUCACUGAGUAUCAGCAAAACUGCCUCUGAGCUAUGCAGACAUAUUGGGACGAGCACAGAAAGGGCUGGCUGGUGCAGCAAGGGGCCAGCUGCUGUAAGAGAAGCACAUUACCAAUUGCUGAAGCUGUUAAGAAAUUGCAGUAUCUCUUGUGAUAAACAAGAACCAUUGAAUCCAGAGGAAUCCCGAUAAGCCACACUACUUCCUGGAAAAUGUCUUGGGGGGGGGGAAGCACUGUUAUUAAAAUUGUAUGUAAAUUUUAGAAAGCAUGAAUUAAAACUGAAACAAAUCUAAAAAGCAUUUUUUU